GGGCCUGUAGCUCAGUGGUUAGAGCAGGGGACUCAUAAUCCCUUGGUCGUGGGUUCAAAUCCCUCCGGGCCCACCA
rnacentral:tRNA from 1 species